GGUUGCGAUCAUACCAGCACUAAUGCACCGGAUCCCAUCAGAACUCCGCAGUGCUUGGGCGAGAGUAGUACUAGGAUGGGUGACCCCCUGGGAAGUCCUCGUGUUGCAACAC
rnacentral:rRNA from 1 species